rnacentral:rRNA from 1 species
UACAGAGGUCUCGAGCGUUAGGCGGAAUCACUGGGCUUAAAGCGUGUGUAGGUGGAUCGUUAAGUACCUUGUGAAAUCCCACGGCUUAACCGUGGAACUGCUUGGUAUACUGGCGGUCUUGAGCCACUUAGGGGCUACCGGAACAAAUGGUGGAGCGGUGAAAUGCGUAGAUAUCAGGAGGAACACCAAUGGCGAAGGCAGCUCGCUGGGACGGUACUGACGCUGAGACGCGAAAGCGUGGGGAGCAAACAGG